rnacentral:rRNA from 1 species
AACGAACGCUGGCGGCAGGCCUAAGACAUGCAAGUCGAACGAACCUUCGGGUUAGUGGCGCACGGGUGCGUAACGCGUGGGAAUAUGCCCUUCACUGCGGAACAAUGUCGGGAAACUGACGCUAAUACCGCAUAAUGACUCCGGUCAAAAGAUUUAUCGGUGAAGGAUUAGCCCGCGUCUGAUUAGGUAUUUGGUGAGGUAAUGGCUCACCAAGCCGACGAUCAGUAGCUGGUCUGAGAGGAUGAUCAGCCACACUGGACCUGAGACGCGGCCCAGACUCCUACGGGAGGCAGACAUUAGCAAUAUUGUACAACGAGGGAAACCCCGAUCCAGCCAUGCCGCGUGUGUGAAGAAGGCCGUAGGGUUGUAAAGCACUUUCGUCUGUGAAGAUAAUGACAGUAGCAGAAGAAGGAGCUCCGGCUAAAUUCGUGCCAGCCGCCGCGGUAA